CGGACGGGUGAGUAACGCGUGAGUAACCUGCCUUACACAAGGGGAUAGCCGUUGGAAACGACGAAUAAUACCCUAUGACAUAAACUCUUCGCAUGAGGAGCUUAUCAAAGAUUUAUCGGUGUAAGAUGGACUCGCGUCUGAUUAGCUAGUUGGUGAGGUAACGGCCCACCAAGGCGACUAUCAGUAGCCGGCUUGAGAGAGUGUACGGCCACAUUGGGACUGAGACACGGCCCAGACUCCUACGGGAGGCAGCAGAC
rnacentral:rRNA from 1 species